rnacentral:pre_miRNA from 1 species
CAUUAUUGGUUGACAACGAGAGAGAGCACGUUUGUCAGCAUUUUGUGUUAGGGUCAUGACUGUUUACAAGCGUGCUCCCUAUCGUUGUCAUAAAUGUGCUCA